UAUAUAGCGAAUAAAGUGAACGAUGAAUAACCAUUUUGGUAAAGGCUUAAUGGCGGGAUUAAAAGCAACGCAUGCCGCCACACACUAUCAUUAACUGAAUCCAUAGGUUAAUGAGGCGAACCGGGGAACUGAAACAUCUAAGUACCCCGAGGAAAAGAAAUCAACCGAGAUUCCCCCAGUAGCGGCGAGCGAACGGGGAGCAGCCCAGAGCCUGAAUCAGUGUGUGUGUUAGUGGAAGCGUCU
rnacentral:rRNA from 1 species